UGUGGGUAACGCUCACCAAGCCGACGAUCUUUAGGGGGCGUGAGAGCGUGACCCCCCACACGGGUACUGAGACACGGACCCGACUCCUACGGGAGGCAGCAGUAGGGAAUAUUGGUCAAUGGAGGCAACUCUGAACCAGCCAUGCCGCGUGAAGGAUGAAGGCGCUCUGCGUCGUAAACUUCUUUUAUAUGGGGCGAAAAUGCGGGAUUUAUCCUGUACUGACAGUACCAUAGGAAUAAGCACCGGCUAACUCCGUGCCAGCAGCCGCGGUAAUACGGAGGGUGCAAGCGUUAUCCGGAUUUACUGGGUUUAAAGGGUGCGUAGGCGGGACAUUAAGUCAGUGGUGAAAGCUCGUUGCUUAACAACGGAAUUGCCAUUGAAACUGAUAUUCUUGAGAUAAGUUGAGGUUGGCGGAAUGUGACAUGUAGCGGUGAAAUGCUUAGAUAUGUCAUAGAACACCGAUUGCGAAGGCAGCUGACUGGACUUUAUCUGACGCUGAGGCACGAAAGCGUGGGGAUCAAACAGGAUUAGAUACCCUGGUAGUCCACGCCCUAAACGAUGUUUACUUGCUGUUUGCCUUUCGGGGUGAGUGGCGAAGCGAAAGCGAUAAGUAAACCACC
rnacentral:rRNA from 1 species